CAGCAACAUCAGGAGGCUUAACUUGAGAAUCAAAUGAAGAAGCUUUUUGGGGCCAUAACUCAUUUAUGCGUCGCACUACCUCAGAACCCAAAGUGCUCUUUCCAGCACCAGGAGGACCAGCCAAGCCUACAAUAUGUUUAUAUGUUUCAGAUUAGGAUUUGAUGCUGCUGCUGCAGUAGGAACAAGGCGCUCAGCUAAAGCAUCAUAUAUCUCGUCCAUGGAACUGGCCUCUAUAAUGGAAAUUUCCCUCUUUAGGCUGCAGAAAACCUUCGCAGAGUUUUCCUUGUAAACUAGAGAUCCAAUGCGUCUCAAUGAAAUUGAUGGUAAACAUUGAUGCCGUAAAGGAAGUCUAAGCC
rnacentral:misc_RNA from 1 species